rnacentral:lncRNA from 1 species
GCCGCGACCCCGCCGCCUACCUGCGCCGGGCCGGGUGCGGGCGCCUCGGCUGCGCAUCGGGGCGGGCGGCGCGACGCCGCCGCAGGACCUAUGAGGAGGUCACCAAGAAGAUGGAGCCAGGCUCCUUGCUGGAGUCCGUGGUGCUGGACACAACAAGCAUCAGCUGAAACACAAGAGGUUCUGACUAGAUAUAAAGACAAACUUUUUCACAGUGAAAACACCAAACAGUGGAGCAGGUUGCCCGAGGAGGUUGUGCAAACUCCAUUCUUGGAGAUUUUCAAGCCCUGACUAGAAAACAUCUUGAGCAACCUGGUCUGACCUCAGAGCUGACCCUGCUUUGAGGAGGAGGUUGGAGAAGAGACCUCCCAUGGUCCAUUCUAACCUGAAUUGCAUUAUGAUCCUAAGACCGAAGAGACCCAACUGAGUUAGCCAUGCUCCAGUUCUACUGUCUUAUUUCUGAGAUGAGAAUACCAGAACUGCAUGGGGAAUUGAAGAUGCCGGUGCAAGAGGCCAUACAAUGGCAUGUUUAUUCUUUCUCUUUUGGUCUCUAUUUCUCUCCUAAUAAAUUUUAAUGAUAAUCCU